rnacentral:lncRNA from 1 species
CCAAUACCUCAUCCGGUAUGGGCGCCAAAACACAUAAGGUCUCCAUACCCCGUCCGAUAUGAGAGACCACGUUUCCGGUAGGGUUCCCUACGGACCCGGUUCGUCCACCAUCUCCCAAGAUAUCUAGUUAGGCUGUCGACAUCAUCUAUUUAUAAAUUCACAUACCUUUUUUUAUUUUUCUUGGUCUCAAUUAUCCAAUCAAAUAUAAACACGUAAACCAGUAAUGAACACCAAACAAGACAACAACGGGUUCACAAUAAUUCAAACCAUAAUAAAUGAAACCGUGAUUCAUGCAU